GCAGACGUCAUUAGCUUACUUUGGACUUCAGAUUCACGGCAUUUUCUCAUUUACAGCCAAAUGAUGUGUUUGUUUCACAAUCGGACAAUUAUCAAGGUAUCGAUGUGAUUUGAAAGAACCAUCAAGACAUCAAUGGGAAUUGUGAUAGAAACGAAAGCGGAAGUAAAAAAAAGGUGGAAAUUCCGAUGAUCUGGGGGCGGAUCUGGGUGCAGUCAAACUUGUCAAACAGUCUUCCCUGAGAAUAACAAAAGAUUGAGAAUUGUAAAGUUUACGGCCAAGUGUUAAUGUAACACCAGAUAAAACAGACGAGGUGACACGGAUAAACAAGUUAACAUUGUCAGCGGAACAGUGCAUCUUCCCUAAGAUGAUUGAGAUGAGUCAAGUCAAAGAUCAACUGUUAAUGUAACAACAGGUAACUGCUCCUUGAGACGGCCCAGUGAAACAAGUCAACCUUGUCAGUGAAGUAUUCAAACUUCUCUGGGGAAUUCAUAAAGAUACAAGUCGAAGACCAUUGUCAGACACUGGUGAGAAGUGCCUAGAUGA